UCCAGUAGUAACAGACUCUCGCCAAAUUCUAGCUCUAGUUUUGCUUUCUUGUUUCCUCCUGAACUCUGAAUAAUUUAAGUAUGUCCUCCUCCUCAGAUUGCUUCCAGACCUGGUCGAGUUCAAGCUGGUUUCCAGACUCUUCUUAAAGAGUGUUUUCUGACUUCUGGAUGAGGAUUCAAGUCUCUAGUUAUUUCCUCCGGAUCAAGUUCAAGUUGGCAGCUUCCUUGCUCUUCGACCAUCCUGAUCAAAUUAUAAGCGAACCCUCUCCACCCUCCAACCAACUCUCACGCAAGACCCUCCAACCUGUGCUCCACACCAUCAAUCCGCUUUCAUCACACAGUCCUAGAUCAAGGCUCCUAAGGAUCUACCUUCACAGAACUGCUCCUGCAUUGUGCUCUCAUACCCCGCAUCUCUCAUCCCUCUGGCAGUUCACCUUCUUUCUCCAAUGGAGAUGUACCAGUCCCAAAUUGCAAACCCAUUUCACUCCCAUGAAAAUAAAUCUUUUAACUUAC